UGCGUUGAAUUAAUUUCAACUGCUCUUGCUAGUUGCGGUUGAGUUUUGUUCGAGGAAAGAUUUUUAAACCUGCUCAAAAAGAAUGGAUCCAAUUAUUCGAACUCACAAUUUCACCAACGAAAAACCUGACAAAGCUGAUCCAGAAACGUUACAAUGGAAGACCAAUUUUUGGAUCGAUAUAGAAUGCUUCUACAGGAGAACCAAUUCAAUCUGGUUACUAUUCCUAGGAUUUGUUAUAGCAGUUUUGGUGCUUUUGGUUGCAGGAUUCCUUAUUACGACAGUGAUUUUACUCGGAACCUUUUACUUCUUCGUCAUGGAACAGCACCACAUUGAUACACUGGAAUUCAGCUGACAUCUUCUCGUUCCCAGCUUAUUUAGCAGCGAAUAAAGUGAUUGUGUAAAUAAAUUUAAUCCAAACCCCA